CCUACGGGAGGCAGCAGUGAGGAAUAUUGGUCAAUGGACGAGAGUCUGAACCAGCCAAGUAGCGUGAAGGAUGACUGCCCUAUGGGUUGUAAACUUCUUUUAUAUGGGAAUAAAAUGUUCCACGUGUGGGAUUUUGUAUGUACCAUAUGAAUAAGGAUCGGCUAACUCCGUGCCAGCAGCCGCGGUAAUACGGAGGAUCCGAGCGUUAUCCGGAUUUAUUUGGUUUAAAGGGAGCGUAGGGGGAUUGUUAAGUCAGUUGUGAAAGUUUGCGGCUCAAACGUAAAAUUGCAGUUGAAACUGGCAGUCUUGAGUACAGUAGAGGUGAGCGGAAGUCGAGGUGUAGCGGUGAAAUGCGUAGAUAUCACGAAGAACUCCGAUUGCGAAGGCAGCUCACUGGACUGCAACUGACACUGAGGCUCGAAAGUGUGGGUAUCAAACAGGAUUAGAUACCCCAGUAGUC
rnacentral:rRNA from 1 species